GUGAUAUCCUUUUUUUUCAAUACAGUAGUCCUCCUUUAUCCACAGUUUCACUUUCUGAGACUGCAGUUACCAAGGCAGGCCAACCUCAGGCCUAAAGCGGAUGAUCCUUCUCCUGAUGUAUAGUCAGGUCAAUUGUCUAGUGCCACAUCACAAUACAAACAUUAUCCACUUCACUUCAAGUCAUCACAUGGGCAUUUUACCAUCUCACAGCCUCACAGAAAGGCAGAUAAAAAGAAACCAAUGGCAGCAGUACUGCUUAAAAUUGCCUAAGCGGGAAGUAAUCAUAAAGACAGCAAACCUGGGUGCCUCCUGGGAUUCAAGAGCAGGACCCGGACAAAGUCUCUGGAAGGACUGAAUUGGUGAUUCAUCAGGAAGCAGUGGAAGAAAUACUGAUAAGAUCAGUUGGGGUGAAGAAAUAAUAACUCGGGCCAUUAGUUCCUCCUACUUCAGUGGCUGAUCCGUAAAAUGAGGUGCCUUUGGAACAUCCAUGUGUCAACAUAAAGUUUGCUGUUGUAAAUGUUUGUCUGAAACUGAAGCUGUUGUAAGUGUUUGUCUGAAACUUAUAAAAGAGGUUCCCAGGUUGCUGUCAGUGGGGGAAGAGAACACGCACUGACUCCAAGCUCCUGUGGCCACAUCUUGUGCUAGGUCCUUCAUUUUAUCUUCACAACUACUCUGUGAGGAAGGAACUGCGAUCUACAUUUUACAUCUAGGAGGAAAAAAGGACUCAGAAGAAGAAGAAAUCAAAAUCUAGGUCUAUCUGAAUCGGGACUCCAUUUCCUUUCUAAUCCAUAGGACCACCUCCCAUAAUUCAAUCAGUGAAUUGAUGCUUUCUGCCAGGACGGGUAAUAUACCAUCUACCCCCUAACGUUUGCACUUUAGUGAGAGAGACAGAGAGGAUACAGGUAAAUUCAAUGAUAUGAUAGUGCUAUGAUAAGGUCCAAUGGGAAUGCACAGGGGGGAACCUAACUCAGGCUUUGGGGUCAGAAAAGUCUCUACCAAAGAGAAAAUAUCUCUGCUGAAUCAAGAAAGACUAGUAAGAAUCACAAAGGAUGAGAACUGGGUUAGGAAGCAUGAUCUUAGGAAGAGGUUGUAGUGAGAACAAAUGCCUGAAACGGGGAGAGUUGGAAGGCUGCACACAGUUCAGGGUGGCUGGAGCCAAACCAGAGGUAGCAUGAGGCAGCAGUGAGCAAGGCCAGCUGGAAUCUAGGUUGAGGGUACAGGAAACCAUUAGAUCCUUUUAGCAGAGGAGAUUUGCAUAUGAGAUUUGCAUAUGAGAAAGAAUCUCUCUGGCUAGAAGGUAGAGCGAAUGGGCUCUAGAGGGAACUAAAGAGGAGAAAGCAGGGAAACCCAUUAGCAGGCCAAGGCCACAGUCCAGGUAAGAGAUGAUGACAGUGCAAAUUAAGGUAAUGGCCCUCUAGAUAAGGAGGGGUAGAAAGAAAUCCAGGUUGGAGACUGCAUGGGACUUGGUCGUUGAUUAGAUGUUAAUAGAUGUAGAAAAUAGCUAAAGGAUCAAGAAUAAUAUUCAUGUUAUGAAUGUUAUAUUCAUAUUAUGAAUAUAUCAAUAUUCAUGUUAUGAAGUGGGCAACUGUGUGGAUGGUAGAGUCAUUAGAGAGAUACACAAGAAAGGGCAAGUAUGAAGGAAUACUGAUGCAUUUCACUUGAGACCUGUGGAAGUGAGGUGCCAGUGGGACACCCAGAGCAGGCUGUCUGAUAGACAGUGGUCUACAGUUUUGUGGCUGAGGAGAAGGAACUGUUGGGAUAGAAGCAGAGGUUUGAGUUUCAUCAAUGGUAACUUAAGCAGUAGGGGUAUAUGAAUACUCCAAAAGAUAUAAAAGGAGGGGAAAAGUAGGUUGAAAAAGAAACUGAGGCACACAAACAUUUAGGAGUUAAGUAGGAGAAGGAAGACCUUCAAGGAGACUGAGAAGAAGCCAGAGAAGCAGGAGGAAAAACCAAAAAAGUGUAGUCUUGUAUAAUAAGCAUAGGGAAGAUAGGAGUAGAGGUAAAGAUGCUGACAGUAUAACUUGUUUCAACAGUAGGGAGGUUAUGGGUGUACUUUCUGAGAGCAAUCUAAGCCAGUCUGCAGUGGGGUGAGGGGAGACUGGAUGGUAAGCAAAUGUAGAUGGUGAGCCUAGAAAAUUCCUUCAAGUUUGAGCUUCAUGUUGGGUGUAGAGAUGACCUAAAUGAAUAAAACUUUAAAAAAAGAAAAGAAAAGAAAACUCCUUCAAAAUAUCUGUUUGCAUGGGAUUGUGAGGGAAACAAACCAUAAGAGAUUUUUAAUCUCCCAAAACAAACUGAGAAUUGCUGAG